rnacentral:rRNA from 1 species
UACGUAGGGUGCGAGCGUUGUCCGGAAUUACUGGGCGUAAAGAGCUCGUAGGCGGUUUGUCGCGUCUGCUGUGAAAACCCGAGGCUCAACCUCGGGCCUGCAGUGGGUACGGGCAGACUAGAGUGCGGUAGGGGAGAUUGGAAUUCCUGGUGUAGCGGUGAAAUGCGCAGAUAUCAGGAGGAACACCAAUUGCGAAGGCAGCUCGCUGGGACGUUACUGACGCUGAGACGCGAAAGCGUGGGGAGCAAACAGG